rnacentral:rRNA from 1 species
CGUACACUCCUGCGGGAGGCAGCAGUGGGGAAUAUUGGACAAUGGGCGCAAGCCUGAUCCAGCCAUGCCGCGUGAGUGAUGAAGGCCCUAGGGUUGUAAAGCUCUUUCACCGGUGAAGAUAAUGACGGUAACCGGAGAAGAAGCCCCGGCUAACUUCGUGCCAGCAGCCGCGGUAAUACGAAGGGGGCUAGCGUUGUUCGGAUUUACUGGGCGUAAAGCGCACGUAGGCGGACUAUUAAGUCAGGGGUGAAAUCCCGGGGCUCAACCCCGGAGCUGCCUUUGAUACUGGUAGUCUUGAGUUCGAGAGAGGUGAGUGGAAUUCCGAGUGUAGAGGUGAAAUUCGUAGAUAUUCGGAGGAACACCAGUGGCGAAGGCGGCUCACUGGCUCGAUACUGACGCUGAGGUGCGAAAGCGUGGGGAGCAAACAUGAUUAGAAACCCCGGUAGUCC